rnacentral:rRNA from 1 species
CGUGACUCCUACGGGAGGCAGCAGUGGGGAAUAUUGCACAAUGGGCGCAAGCCUGAUGCAGCCAUGCCGCGUGUAUGAAGAAGGCCUUCGGGUUGUAAAGUACUUUCAGCAGUGAGGAAGGCGGAGUCGUUAAUAGCGGCCUCGUUUGACGUUAGCUGCAGAAGAAGCACCGGCUAACUCCGUGCCAGCAGCCGCGGUAAUACGGAGGGUGCGAGCGUUAAUCGGAAUUACUGGGCGUAAAGCGCAUGCAGGCGGCCUGUUAAGUCAGAUGUGAAAGCCCGGGGCUUAACCUCGGAAUUGCAUUUGAAACUGGCAGGCUAGAGUCUUGUAGAGGGGGUAGAAUUUCAGGUGUAGCGGUGAAAUGCGUAGAGAUCUGAAGGAAUACCAGUGGCGAAGGCGGCCCCCUGGACAAAGACUGACGCUCAGAUGCGAAAGCGUGGGGAGCAAACAGGAUUAGAUACCCUGGUAG